rnacentral:rRNA from 1 species
UACGUAGGGUGCGAGCGUUGUCCGGAAUUAUUGGGCGUAAAGAGCUCGUAGGUGGUUUGUCGCGUUGUUCGUGAAAACCGGGGGCUUAACCCUCGGCGUGCGGGCGAUACGGGCAGACUGGAGUACUGCAGGGGAGACUGGAAUUCCUGGUGUAGCGGUGGAAUGCGCAGAUAUCAGGAGGAACACCGGUGGCGAAGGCGGGUCUCUGGGCAGUAACUGACGCUGAGGAGCGAAAGCGUGGGGAGCGAACAGG